rnacentral:tRNA from 1 species
GGCGGAGCUUUCCUCGGAGAGAUAAGCAGACUGUAAAUCUGUGGUCGCAAGACUGAGUAGGUUCGACUCCUGCCUCCGUCACCA